ensembl:lncRNA
GAACUUGCAGGAAAGAUAAACAGUCAGACAGCAGAGCAACUCUUUUCAGAUAUGAAGAAAAAGAACUACUUCCUGAACAUGAUGAAACCAUCAUCCCACAUUUUCCUGGCAAGAAAUAUUUUGCACCAUAAAAAUGUUGCACGAAACAAUAAGGUUGUGAAGCAGUUAAGAAAACUUACUGACGAGAACACUGAAUUACAGUUUGAUUGCAAUGGAAAGAUCAUUUUGGCCAUGGCAGAGAGUCCUUGAUCCUCCAAAAAUAUUGAGUCUGGAUUAUGCGGUCAAAUUUCAGGUGCAGCAAUGGCUGUGAAUCCUCAAUCCUCCAACACUAUUGAUACUGCUGGAGUAUGUAGUCAAAUUUCAGCUGCUGUCCAGCCAUCAUGUGAAAAGCACACAUGUCACAGUGUGAUUACAAGCCACAAGCCCUUCUGGGUAGUGGAGGACAUACUUCCAAAUAAAGCAGCUUGGGGCAAACCAUUACCAGAACAUCUUCAGAAAAUGGUUGCACAUGUUUUGGACCCAAACCGUGACCCGGAGGAACAUAUUGUUUCUGUGGGAUCAACUGUGCUCUUGCGUUCCGAUUUGUUGUCUUUAGGACUGUCAGAAGAAGUUGAAGCAACGGUAAAAUACAUUUUUAUCAGUAAAAUGAGAUGGAAAAAUAUCAAAGGAACUCAUUUUAUUUGUUUUAUUUAAAAAUUAUAGAUUUUGAACUGAUGCCUAAGAAUCGUAGAGCACAUCGCUUUUAAAAUGGUAAGGUAGCAGUCUAAAAGAUUUUAUUGAAAAUAGGAUACAUUUGUAUUUAUCUGAUAAUUGUUUCUUUGUUAAAGGAUGUCAGUGUGUUUGUUGCUAAUUCCUACGUGGUAGUGACCUGGCUUCCACCACAUUCUUGUUUCCCUGAGUUGUCCCUUCCGGUGAGUUCUGGAAUGUUUUAUCUUGUGAAUGAUUGUACUAUCACUGCAUAUAAACAACAUUAUAUUUCCUAGGCUCUGAUAUGUUUCUAAAUAUUUUAGCCUUAUGUCAGACAGACAGACCUUGUGGUUCUGCCAGCUUGGGUACCUGGCCACUGGCUACUGUGUGUAAGUAAUAGAAUUCAUAUGAGAACUAGGUAAACAGUAUUGUAAUUUAACCUUUAUCCAAUACUAAACAAUGUGCUGUUGAAUUAAGUUUAGUUGCACAUUGGCAUUAAAUUACAUAAACUAUUACAGAGAUGUUUGUGUAGAGCAUUGCAUGUGCGUUUUACAGAUAAUGAAACCAAAGACAUAAGAAAUUUUAUUUUCUCGACUCUAUGCAACAAGCAGGAUUUGGACCGUACAUUGACACAUUCAGGUUAUAGAAACGUUCAGAAUGUGUUCAGAGAUUGCAGUGGUUCUGUUUUAAACUGUAAUCUUUUUUUUAAUUUUUUUUUUUAUUAUUGUUCAUGAACUUUUAUUUUGUUCAUUGAAAAUUUCAGUGAUGUGCAUUAGACAUGUGCAGGUAUUCGGUAAUGCGAUAUAUCACGGUAAUGAAUAUGCAUGAUAUUGUUAUCGUGAGCACUUCUAAAUACCAUGAAUAAUUAUAUAUUACAAAUUAUUCAGAAUUUGGAAUGCAUUUUAAGAAUACUUUUACCAUCAACUGGUCAAAAUGCACAACACCGCUGUAUGGUGCUUGAAAGACACAUGUGCCACUCUGACGUAAAUAAGCACGCAUGAGAAGCACAUGAGGAACACGUGAGCUGAAUGAAAGCAUAUUCACUCUCUGACAGCAGAUGGCGCUAAACUGCAGAAAAUGCAGCCCUUACCCUGGAAACCCCAUAAAUAAAGCAGCUGCUCUACUUUCUAAAUCGUAUUUA